GAGUGAUGAGCAAAAAUGCAUAGUUCAGAUGAUCAAACCCUAGUGGUUAUGAUUACUUUGAAUAAAUAGUCUUUCGCUC
rnacentral:snoRNA from 2 species